ensembl:Mt_tRNA
GUCCUUGUAGUAUAACCCAUUACCCUGGUCUUGUAAACCAGAAAAGGAGACACACCCGCUCCCCAGGACA